CAUACAGCACUGGUGACAACAAUGGCGGCGAAGGAAGGAAGGAAAUCAGUAACCCUAUGUUUUUGAGACUGGAAAUUGGUAUUUUUGCACAAAAAUUAAUCUGUAUGCAAAGUUUGUCGGAAUUUUGAAAGAAUCAAGUCUUGACAUUUUGUUAUAAACAAAAGUAUCGGUAUUUUUCAAAAGGUUCGCGAAUGUGAAUUUGUAAGCUUUCAGAAGACAAAAGGAAGCAUAUUGUACAGAGUGCUGUUAAAAACUGAUAUAAGCUCCAUGUGUUUUUAAACAGCAAGAUCAAAAAAUUUCGAAAAAAGGAAAGAUAAGUUAAAUGUAAUUUGUGUACGUGAUGUAUUGGUCCAAGUGCCAAGAAGAGCUAAAGUUCUACCUAAUAGGGUAAACAGUGCUUCUCAUGGUACAUUAAAAUCAAAUUAGUUUAUUGUCGGAUCAACCAAUCAAAUCGGUCAAUAACGACUCAGUAAAAAGUUUGAAAGUUGAAACUGAAAUUUCAUUUUCAUUAUUUGUCAUUUUUUAUAUUGCUUUUACUAAAAGGAAUAAAAAUAGCAAUUUUAUUAAACUUCUUGUUUGCAAUGAAA